GGGGGCGUAAAGGUUUCGACGGGGAUCUUGAAGUAUGUUAAGCGAGCAGAGCGGGUGCGGUCUCUUCAAAACGCACACUUAUAAAUUAACUAACAACAAAACUUUAGUUGCUGCUUAAUUAAAGCGGCCGUCCGGUCGGGAGGGCUACGAACCGAUGUCAGGGCGUGGAACAGUAGCGUCCGUGAGUUUAUAAAGCUUUGAAUAAGCCACGCAUCAUGAAGCUACCGAAAAAAGCAGUCGGGCAGUUGACGGCUUUUUGAGGGAAUGUAAAGAUCUGCCUACGCUCGUAGAAAGACAUGUGGACGGGUUUUCGGACAGGGGUUCGACUCCCCUCGCCUCCACCA
rnacentral:tmRNA from 1 species